rnacentral:siRNA from 1 species
AGGUGAAGAGGAUCUAAACUGCA